rnacentral:misc_RNA from 1 species
CUGCAAUGUUGAUGGGAAUGGUCUUGGUUGGAGUAGCCAUGGUUGUGGUUGAGAGUGCUGUUACAUCCAUAUAUAUCUGCUAUGCGGAAGACCCAUUGUUGAUUCGCAGAUGGGAUGCUGAAUUCUUCGACCAAUUGUCUGAGACCCUGCACCAGCGUCUUCAAUAUAGGAGUGACCGAGCAAGGCAAGUAUUGACCCAGAAUCGAUUUGAUAGUCACAUGCAAGAAACUAUUACUGUAUGAUUACUUUAGAAUAUACACACUGAAAUUUACUGCGCUUAAGUCAACUUGUAUUUAGUUUGGACUUCUUGUGGACUCCAUUACAAAGAAUUGUGAUCUAUGAUUUUCAUUUCUUUGUAAUGGAGUCCACAA